UUCUGGUCAGGUGUUAUUAAGUAAAUGAUAUCAGUGAUAUCUUGAAAAAAUCGGGUGUAUGGCCAAUAGAAACAUCAAAAUGAUCAGAUGCGUAGUGUGAAAUAAAGUAUCAUUUCCGUCAUAAAAAAGAACAGAGCAGAAUGAGUUUUCAGUUAUCUUGACAUAGCACCAAAAUCAUUAAAAACUACCAAAAUUAAAAGUAGCUUUCAAAUUUCAAUAUUCCUCUUGUGUGAAUGAAUAUGUCUAUGUUAACGGGUGUAACAU
rnacentral:lncRNA from 1 species